CCGCCCCGCCCCGCGCGCCAGAGCGAACCUGGAGCCAUUUUGCAGCGCGGCACGACGCGCACCGACUCGCGGCCGCGAUCCUGCUGAGAUUCUUCUUCAGCGUGCUCAUCGAGGACAUGCCAUUUUCUGAGGAAGAGUUUGAUGACUUGCAGGGGCCGAUAAGGAUCUACCACCUGUGGGAACAGGUCAGCUACAACUGCUUCAUCAUGGCUGGGCUCUACAUGCUGCUGGGCUGCUUUUUCUGCCAGGAGUAAAAAUACAUUUGAAAAUAAGCCCAAACCCACACCUCAAUUGAUGGGGAAAAAAGAGUCUUAAGCGCAAUUCCACUUAACUAAACAACAUUGGCCCAUAACCAUAAAGAGGGGGCUGGGUCCUAUGGGCUAGAUCAUCCGCUGGCACCAGAGACACAUGGCUAGAGCGUCACCAGCCAUCGAGGUGCUGCUGCAGCCAUUGAAAGGGCACACCUACCCAUGGUGCCCUUCUGGUAGGUGAUGGGGCGAUGGAGAAGGGGGCUGAGCACAUGACCCUGCCUCCCCCACUUUUGGGAGAAAUGCCGGGGAAAUCCGCACCUCCCGUCACCAUGCCAUGUAUGGGCAUGUCGUUCUCUU